GCCAUAUCAUGUUCAAACACUAGUUCCCGUACGGUCACCGAAGUUAAGCAACGUUGAGCCUCGUCAGCACCUAGAUGGGUGAACGCUUGGGAAUAAAAAGUGAU